rnacentral:misc_RNA from 1 species
GUCAACUUGAGCAUACGAGUUCCGAAGGAUCGGUAUGUCACUACGGGUGCUGUUGCUUGAUCUUCCAUGGGUGGAGAUCCUAUUCGACUGGUUCUUCAUCCCGAUGAGUUCUUCUAAAGAGUUCACCCUUGUGCAAGCAGGCUUACUCUGAUCUGGUAUGUUUCCGCAGCUAUAGGUAUCUAUUUCGGAGCUUCUGUUACGGACUACUACAUCAGACCAGUGACCAGUAGACCCUUUAUCCCAACCCA